CUUGAUCGACCCGAGCCACAGCGGCUUGUCCUCGAAGCGGUCCUGGCCGUAGGUGGAGAUGAGCGCCUGCGCCUC
rnacentral:antisense_RNA from 2 species